CCGCGUCGCAAUCGCGCGCGCGGACGAAGUCACUCGUGCGUCUCUACGUCUCUCGGAUCGGAACAACUUUCUCAUUGUGAUAACUGUAUAACGCGGCUCGUGGCAUGGCAAGUAAUUUGCAAUGAAAUAACGGAGAACUGGUAGCGCAGGUGAUAGUCGCCUGUAUUCCGCAGAAGCUUUCGAACACACGCGCCGUACGUGAAACGGCGUGCGUGAAACGACGAACGACGGCAGCGGCGACGGGCAAUCACCGAUCUCCGGUCGUUCUUUUCUAUCCUCGAGAGAGAUAUCCCGCCCGGUAUCUCGACGCCUGAUUAUUAGAUUCCGUUUUUCCUUCCACGCCGGAUAUCGCGUACGCCGAUAACGCCGCCGAUUGCGAGGCACGAUGGCGUAUCGCAUAUUUGAGGUCGAUACACGGGAAAACGCAUCGACAAGCUAUGACUCAUCGCGGUGCGAGCUUCUCCAAAAAGAUUCUGGCACUCAGCUCACGUCUGCAGCAGCAAGGAGGUUGUAGAGGGAGGUCCGACGGAACAGGGAACAUUUUUAUGAAGGCGAUCAAUAAGAAAAGCGUGCUUUCUGGAGUAAGAGCGAAUAAAUGUAUACCAUAAAAAUAGUUUGAAAACUAAAGCGUCACGGGGCAAACCUACCAUAGCCGCAUGGGUUCGAACAAGUGUGUAUUAUGAGUCACGGAAUAGCGGCCGAGGGGGUAGCUCCCACACCCUCCACCCUAUUGAUCCCACAUUUCUGUAUACUCACGCGACUCAAGAGGGACGAAUGAGAAAAUAAAGAACGAGCAAGAUAGACAAGAGCUAAAAGAAGGGGAAAAAGAGAAGAUGAGACAAAAAAAAGAGCGAUAAGAGAAAAUACGGAAGUACAAAAAAAAACUUGCAAUAUAAUAGCACUGCGAAAAAAUAAUGUGUAGCGUUUACCUGAAAUAAAUAUUUCUCUUUAACAAAAAAUCCUAGACUUUAAUUUGUCAAAUUAUUUAAUACUUAAAUCAAACAACCGUGAUACUCGGGUUACAUUCCAAAAUGUUGCUUUUGAGAAAACUUC